rnacentral:rRNA from 1 species
UACGUAGGGUGCAAGCGUUAAUCGGAAUUACUGGGCGUAAAGCGUGCGCAGGCGGUGAUGUAAGACAGUUGUGAAAUCCCCGGGCUCAACCUGGGAACUGCAUCUGUGACUGCAUCGCUGGAGUGCGGCAGAGGGGGAUGGAAUUCCGCGUGUAGCAGUGAAAUGCGUAGAUAUGCGGAGGAACACCGAUGGCGAAGGCAAUCCCCUGGGCCUGCACUGACGCUCAUGCACGAAAGCGUGGGGAGCGAUCCGG